CGGGUAAUUGUUGGGGGAUCCAUGGCAUCUGGUAGCUGAGGUCUAGCAUCAUUAGGCCGACCGUUCCCAUCUGGUGGUUUGGCAUGUACUAGUGGAGGGAUUUUUCUAAAAUUGAGACUUUCAUCAAAUACUCGGUCAACCAACUCUUCUCUAGUGUCUAUGGCAGAGCCAGGGGUGGUGGCAGCAGUGCUUACUGUGGUACUGGGGGCAGUGCCUGAUGAAGUCACUGAAUCUAUUUCUCCUGCUACAUCGUUGAUUUCCCGUGCGAUGAGAGCCAGAUCUUGACUGAUCCUUGCUAUUUCUUCUCGAUGUGCAGUCCAAUCACGUAUGUAAUCUUCCUGUUCUUUUAUUCUGUGCUUGAAAGCAUUGCUACUUUGAGUUGCUGUCCCCGUGCUCUGCAGUCGUGUGGUUUUCAG
rnacentral:lncRNA from 1 species